UACGAGGGGGGCGAGCGUUGUUCGGAAUUAUUGGGCGUAAAGGGCGCGUAGGCGGUGCGGUAAGUCACCUGUGAAACCUCUAGGCUUAACCUAGAGCCUGCAGGCGAAACUGCCGUGCUGGAGUGUGGGAGAGGGUCGUGGAAUUCCCAGUGUAGAGGUGAAAUUCGUAGAUAUUGGGAAGAACACCGGUGGCGAAGGCGGCGACCUGGUCCGAUACUGACGCUGAGGCGCGAAAGCGUGGGGAGCAAACAGG
rnacentral:rRNA from 1 species